UACAAAGGGGGCUAGCGUUGUUCGGAUUUACUGGGCGUAAAGCGCACGUAGGCGGAUUGUUAAGUUGGGGGUGAAAUCCUGGAGCUCAACUCCAGAACUGCCUUCAAUACUGGCAAUCUCGAGUCCGGAAGAGGUAAGUGGAACUCCUAGUGUAGAGGUGGAAUUCGUAGAUAUUCGCAAGAACACCAGUGGCGAAGGCGGCUCACUGGCCCGGUACUGACGCUGAGGUGCGAAAGCGUGGGGAGCAAACAGGG
rnacentral:rRNA from 1 species